GACGAACGCUGGCGGCGUGCUUAACACAUGCAAGUCGAACGGAAAGGCCCUGCUUUUGUGGGGUGCUCGAGUGGCGAACGGGUGAGUAACACGUGAGUAACCUGCCCUUGACUUUGGGAUAACUUCAGGAAACUGGGGCUAAUACCGGAUAGGAGCUCCUGCUGCAUGGUGGGGGUUGGAAAGUUUCGGCGGUUGGGGAUGGACUCGCGGCUUAUCAGCUUGUUGGUGUGGUAGUGGCUUACCAAGGCUUUGACGGGUAGCCGGCCUGAGAGGGUGACCGGGCACAUUGGGCCUAAGAGAGGGACCAGAAGCCUACGGGAGGCAGCAGGGGGGAGUAUGGCGCAAUGGGGGGAAGCCUGAGGCAGAAACGCCGCGUGCGGGAUGACGGCCUUCGGGUGGUAAACCGAUUUCGCAUGUGAUGAAGCGUGAGUGACGGUAAUGGGUAAAGAAGCACCGGCUAACUACGUG
rnacentral:rRNA from 1 species